AUCCAGCUGACGAGUCUCAACUAGGACAAAACACACAUCCUGGAU
rnacentral:hammerhead_ribozyme from 1 species